UACGAAGGGGGCUAGCGUUGCUCGGAAUUACUGGGCGUAAAGCGCACGUAGGCGGCUCUUUAAGUCGGAGGUGAAAUCCUGGAGCUCAACUCCAGAACUGCCUUCGAUACUGAAGAGCUCGAGUCCGGGAGAGGUGAGUGGAACUGCGAGUGUAGAGGUGAAAAUUCGUAGAUAUUCGCAAGAACACCAGUGGCGAAGGCGGCUCACUGGCCCGGUACUGACGCUGAGGUGCGAAAGCGUGGGGAGCAAACAGG
rnacentral:rRNA from 1 species